rnacentral:miRNA from 1 species
AUACUUACCUGACGCGGGAGGU